GACGAACGCUGGCGGCGUGCUUAACACAUGCAAGUCGAACGGAAAGGCCCUGCUUGCAGGGUACUCGAGUGGCGAACGGGUGAGUAACACGUGGGUGAUCUGCCCUGCACUUCGGGAUAAGCCUGGGAAACUGGGUCUAAUACCGGAUAGGAGCCAUUUUUAGUGUGAUGGUUGGAAAGUUUUUUCGGUGUAGGAUGAGCUCGCGGCCUAUCAGCUUGUUGGUGGGGUAAUGGCCUACCAAGGCGGCGACGGGUAGCCGGCCUGAGGGGGUGGACGGCCACAUUGGGACUGAGAUACGGCCCAGACUCCUACGGGAGGCGGCAGUGGGGAAUAUUGCACAAUGGGCGCAAGCCUGAUGCAGCGACGCCGCGUGGGGGAUGACGGCCUUCGGGUUGUAAACUCCUUUCGCUAGGGACGAAGCUUUUUGUGACGGUACCUAGAUAAGAAGCACCGGCUAACUACGU
rnacentral:rRNA from 1 species